AUGGGCAUCCGGCUCAUCGUGAAGGGGACCCCGCCGCCGCCGCCCAAGAAGGGGAGCCCGGGCGUGCUCUUCGUGUGCAACCACCGCACCGUGCUGGACCCCAUCGAGGUCGCCGUCGCGCUCGGCCGCAAGGUGAGCUGCGUGACCUACAGCAUCUCCAAGUUCUCGGAGCUCAUCUCGCCGAUCAAGGCGGUGGCGCUGACGCGGGAGCGCGACAAGGACGCCGAGAACAUCCGGCGGCUGCUGGAGGAGGGCGACCUGGUGAUCUGCCCCGAGGGCACCACCUGCCGGGAGCCCUACCUGCUGCGCUUCAGCGCGCUCUUCGCCGAGCUCACGGACCGCAUCGUGCCGGUGGCGAUCAACACCAGGGAGCACAUGUUCCACGGCUCCACCGUGCGCGGGUUCAAGCUCAUGGACCCCUACUUCUUCUUCAUGAACCCGCGGCCGGUCUACGAGGUCACCUUCCUCAACAUGCUGCCCAAGGAGCUCACCUGCGGCGGGGGCAAGUCGCCCAUCGAGGUCGCCAACUACAUCCAGAAGACGCUCAGCGACCAGCUCGGCUUCGAGUGCACCACCAUCACCCGCAAGGAGAAGUACGGCAUACUGGCCGGCACCGACGGGCGCGUCCCGUCCAAGAACAAGGACAAGGAGAAGAACUAG
rnacentral:rRNA from 1 species